rnacentral:lncRNA from 1 species
AUGAACUGCGACAUGGAGGAGAAAGGGAUUGUACUCCGGGAGCUGAGCUGCCAGACUCUCCUCCAUGUCUCCUCCUCCGGACUACGGCGGCAGUCCGGCAGCUCCGGUGGGGGGAGGCAGUCCAGCAGAGAAAGGGAUUGUACUCCCGGAGCUGAGCUGCAGCCAAGUUCCCCCUGCCGGAGCUGCUCGUCCGCUGGUCCACAAAAUCUCUGGCCCUCUCUCAACAGGCUGACCCAAGGCUGCUGUGUGGCGCUGCGGACGCUACUUCCGGGUAGCCGGCUUGGUUUGGUUAGCAGGACGCUUAAGGUCUACCUGCUAUUUUCGGUUUAUAUCUAUUUUUCCGCUAUUUAUAUCUGCGUCCUGUUCUGCAUACUCUGUAUUGUAUUCGCUAUUUCCUCGUUGGAGCUCUGUCUGCAUCAACCAAGCUCACUUCAAAGUGCUGACAUGAUGCAAUUUGCAAAGUAAUGGCAACAUAGAUGAAGCUCGAACCAUUGAGGAGGCACGCUACGCUGUUUGCUAUUCGCGGUUUCAGAAAGGUGGCUGGGUAGUCCGCCCCAUCAAGGAGAAACCAUCUUACGGUUAGUCGUUUCACUUAGUUUCUCAAUAUCUUUUAUGUCAAUCUAUCUUUUUUUAUGCAAGUCAAUCAUGUUCCUGAUUGUGUUCUUAACAUUUCUCUCCUCAAGGAUAUGCAACAAAUCUUAUGGUCUCUCUGGUAGAGGAAUACUCUAGAUCACCACAGGCCCUACUAGAAAGCAGUGCUGUCUUGUCUUGUGCUGCCCCGCCCCCCCUCACCACUUCCCUCCAGAAGGUUGCCAAGGAUGAGGCAGUCAGGCUCCAUCUCGCACGACACUCGCGUUUUAACGUGUAAUAAAACAUACGUGAAAGAAAUUGGGAGAAAACGGGUAUCGGUACUCUUUAGUUCGUUUAUUAGUUACAAUGGAACUGAGUUGAUGGUAUAGUGUAUGAUGACAACAUCAGUGAAUGAGAUGAUGAGAAUAUAUUUUUGGACUAUUUAUUAUGCUACCUUUCUUCUUUUUUAACGACUCCAGUGUGUGAGUGCAUUGAAUUUCCCGUGCAAUGACAAAUAAAUCGAAUCUAAUCUAAU